rnacentral:rRNA from 1 species
AAUGGGCGAAAGCCUGACGGAGCAACGCCGCGUGAGGGAUGAAGGCCUCUGGGCUGUAAACCUCUUUUAUCAAGGAAGAAGAUCUGACGGUACUUGAUGAUAAGCCACGGCUAAUUCCGUGCCAGCAGCCGCGGUAAUACGGGAGUGGCAAGCGUUAUCCGGAAUUAUUGGGCGUAAAGCGUCCGCAGGCGGCCCUUCAAGUCUGCUGUUAAAAAGUGGAGCUUAACUCCAUCAUGGCAGUGGAAACUGUUGGGCUUGAGUGUGGUAGGGGCAGAGGGAAUUCCCGGUGUAGCGGUGAAAUGCGUAGAUAUCGGGAAGAACACCAGUGGCGAAGGCGCUCUGCUGGGCCAUCACUGACGCUCAUGGACGAAAGCCAGGGGAGCGAAAGGGAUU